rnacentral:tRNA from 1 species
AUCUUUCUAGUAUUUAAAUAGUACAAAUGACUUCCAAUCAUUUAGCCUUGGUUAAAAUCCAAGGAAAGAUA